UCAUGCCUACGGGGCGCAGCAGUGAGGAAUAUUGGUCAAUGGCCGGAAGGCUGAACCAGCCAAGCCGCGUGAAGGACGAAGGUGCCAAGCAUUGUAAACUUCUUUUGUCAAGGGACAAAAUCAGGCUCGAGAGCCUGACCGAGGGUACUUGAAGAAAAAGCAUCGGCUAACUCCGUGCCAGCAGCCGCGGUAAUACGGAGGAUGCGAGAGUUAUCGGGAUUUAUUGGGUUUAAAGGGUGCGUAGGCGGGCUGUUAAGUCAGCGGUAAAAGCCCGGGGCUCAACCCCGGAGAGCCGUUGAAACUGG
rnacentral:rRNA from 1 species